CAACUACUCCCUCUGUCCCAAAUUUCUUGUCUUAGAUUUGUCUAGAUAUGAAUGUAUCUAAUACUAAAAUGUGACUUGAUACAUCUGUAUCUAGACAAAUCCAAGACAAGAAUUUUGGGACGGAGGGAGUACUUU
rnacentral:pre_miRNA from 1 species